rnacentral:rRNA from 1 species
GUUGUAGUCUGGAGAAGUGCUUUCCGUGCCGGACCGUGUAUAAGUCUCUUGGAAUAGAGCGUCAUAGAGGGUGAGAAUCCCGUCUUUGACACGGACUACCGGUGCUUUGUGAUGCGCUCUCAAAGAGUCGAGUUGUUUGGGAAUGCAGCUCAAAAUGGGUGGUAAAUUCCAUCUAAAGCUAAAUAUUGGCGAGAGACCGAUAGCGAACAAGUACCGUGAGGGAAAGAUGAAAAGCACUUUGGAAAGAGAGUUAAACAGUACGUGAAAUUGCUGAAAGGGAAACGCUUGAAGUCAGUCGCGUUGUGCAGAACUCAACCUAGCUUUUGCUUGGUGCACUUUCUGURUGACGGGCCAGCAUCGAUUUUGACUGUCGGAAAAGGGCCGAAGGAAUGUGGCACCUCCGGGUGUGUUAUAGCCUUUGGUCGCAUACGGCAGUUGGGAUCGAGGAACGCAGCGUGCCGCAAGGUGGGGCUUCGGCCUACAUUCACGCUUAGGAUGCUGGCAUAAUGGCUUUAAACGACCCGUCUUGAAACACGGACCAAGGAGUCUAACAUGCCUGCGAGUGUUUGGGUGGAAAACCCGAGCGCGUAAUGAAAGUGAAAGUUGAGACCUCUGUCGUGGAGGGCAUCGACGCCCGGACCUGAAGUUUUCUGACGGAUCCGCGGUAGAGCAUGUAUGUUGGGACCCGAAAGAUGGUGAACUAUGCCUGAAUAGGGUGAAGCCAGAGGAAACUCUGGUG